UAAAACUGUUGAGAAUCCUUUUUGUCCUAGACUUGGCACUCCAGUACUGCUUGCCAUGCAGUAGUAGAGAGAACAGUCUAUGACUGGGGUGGCUGGGGUCUUUGACAAUUUGUAAUGCUUCCUCUGACACCGCCUGGUGUAGAGGUCCUGGAUGGCAGGCAGCUUAGCCCCAGUGAUGUACUGGGCCAUACGCACUACCCUCUGUAGUGCCUUGCGGUCGGAUGCCGAGCCAUUGCUGUACCAGGCAGUGAUGCAACCCGUCAGGAUACUCUCGCAGCUGUAUAACCUUUUGAGGAUCUCAGGACCCAUGCCACAUCUUUUUAGUUUCCUGAGGGGGAAUAGGCUUUGUCGUGCCCUCUUCACGACUGGCUUGGUGUGUUUGGUCCAUUCUAGUUUGUUGGUGAUGUGGACACCAAGGAACUUGAAGCUCUCAACCUGCUCCACUACAGCCCCGUCGAUGAGAAUGGGGGCGUGCUCGGUCCUCCUUUUCCUGUAGUCCACAAUCAUCUCCUUAGUCUUGGUUACGUUGAGGUAUAGGUUGUUAUUCUGGCACCACCCGGCCAGGUCUCUGACCUCCUCCCUAUAGGCUGUCUCGUCGCUGUCGGUGAUCAGGCAUACCACUGUUGUGUCGUCUGCAAACUUAAUGAUGGUGUUGGAGUCGUGCCUGGCCAUGCAGUCGUGGGUGAACAGGGAGUACAGGAGGGGACUGAGCAAGCACUCAUGGAGAGCUCUAGUGUUGAGGAUCAGCGUGGCAGAUGUGUUGCUACCUACCCUCACCACCUGGGGGCGGCCCGGAAGUCCAGCAAGUCCAGGAUCCAGUUGCAGAGGGAGGUGUUUAGUCCCAGGAUCCUUAGCUUAGUGAAGUUACUCUGCAAUGGUGUCAACCAUAAAAGUUCUAUGCUGCAGACAGAGUUCAAACUGUUGACCCAUCAUAUGACCAUCAGUGUUUCCUGAUCAAGUGUGACAGUGAGAGACAGGUAGGGUGUGGGAUAAAGAUCGAAAGAGAGCCAUACCCAGUGAGCGAAAUUGUUAAAAAUAUGUUGAAAAGAAGUCUGAUGUUAAUGUUUUAAAGACAUUCUAUGUAGGGUUGCAAAGGGUUGGAAACUUUCUGGUUAAUCGCCAGAUUUUUUUCUGGAAAUCUUCCAUGGGAAGUUAAGCCCUGGAAUUUGGUGAAUUUUUAUUAAAUUCAUCAAAAAUGUUAGCUUAUAACAGUGUAACUUUUUGUGGGAUACACAUAAGGCAAUUAUAGGUCUUGUGGCAUAUUUUGGUUAAACUAUCCCCAAUUCAAUGGAAUUGCAACCCUCUGCAUGCAUAGUCCAUUCUUCCAUCACAUGUACAGCUGAUUGUAAAUCUUACACACUAUAUGCUUGCGCACUAUAUGCUAUUGAGCCCACACCACUACACUGUCUGAGCCAAGAACUACAUGCUUUCUGGUAAGUUUUGAUUACAAUACUGGGUGGGGGGAAUAUAUUCUAUCUGACAUACAUGAUUUUUUGUUAACUAGUAAAUAGUAGCCUACAGCAAAGUGUGUUUAAAUCAUUUCUAACUUGUUAACAAUUUCUGCUUGUUAGUUUUUGCUACCAUGUGGGUUUUAACUUGCUUGAGCCUGCUAACUGAGGAGUGUUAAUAUACAUGUUUCAUUUUAAAACAUUUAUCUUACAAAGGAGUUCUUUAAUCUAACUGCUUAACUAUUUAUAUGUACCUGCAAUUGUAUUUGUUGUUUUUUUACAAUUUAUUUUCUAAUCUUUACAGGAAAAUGCCACAGGCACUAUCUGAUGUGUGGAAACAUUUCACUGCAGCUAACAUAGAAGGAAAAGCUGUGUACAUUUGCAAAUGCUGUGCCAAAUCAUAUGUGAAGAAUGCAACAAAGAUGCAGAAUCAUCUGGCCAAGGGCAAAAAGUUCCCUCAGUGUUCACAACAAGCAACCUCUGACAAAAGUCCCUCUACUUCUAUUUGAGGUGAAAAUUAUGAAUCAGAAUAAUUAACUACAUCUCCACCCCUCAACCAGUAUUCUACAAGAGCACAGACACAAGGGACAACAGACACACCGGUCUCUACAUUGCAGAUGAGCUGAAGGCAGUCAUCAAUGACCUUGGACCAGAGAAGGUAUUUGCACUGGUGACAGACAAUGCUGCGAACAUGAAGGCCGCUUGGUCUAAAGUGGAGGAGUCCUACCCUCACAUCACACCCAUUGGCUGUGCAGCUCAUGCAUUGAAUCUGCUCCUCAAGGACAUCAUGGCACUGAAAACAAUGGAUACACUCUACAAGAGAGCCAAGGAAAUGGUUAGGUAUGUGAAGGGUCAUCAAGUUAUAGCAGCAAUCUACCUCACCAAGCAAAGUGAGAAGAAUAAGAGCACCACAUUGAAGCUGCCCAGCAACACACGCCGGGGUGGUGUUUUCAUCCUGUUUGACAGUCUCCUAGAGGGGAAAGAGUCUCUCAAGGAAAUGACCAUAUCACAGUCUGCCGUUAUGGAUAGCCCCAUCAAGAGGAUCCUCCUGGAUGAUGUAUUUUGGGAGAGAGUGGUAAGUAGCCUGAAACUCCUGAAACCUAUAGCAGUAGUCAUUGCAUGGAUUGAGGGAAACAAUGCCAUCCUGUCUGAUGUUCAGACUCUGCUUGCAGAUGUAAGAAAAGAGAUCCGUACUGCCCUGCCCACUUCACUGUUGCUCCAAGCAGAGGAAACUGCAGUUCUGAAAUAUAUAAAAAAAUCGUGAUGACUUCUGCCUGAUGCCCUUACACGCCGCAGCGUACAUGUUGGACCCCAAGUAUCCUGGCAAGAUCAUCCUGUCUGGUGCAGAGAUCAACAAGGCCUAUGGUGCCAUCACUACCGUGUCUCGCCACCUUGGCCUGGAUGAGGGCAAGGUUCUUGGCAGUCUGGUGAAGUACACUUCCAAGCAAGGGCUUUGGGAUGGAGAUGCAAUAUGGCAGUUGUGCCAACAUAUCUCAUCAGCCACCUGGUGGAAGGGACUUUGUGGAUCUGAGGCUCUUUCCCCUGUUGCCUCCAUCAUCCUCCAAAUCCCACCAACAUCACCCGCCUCAGAUCACAAUUGGUCGUUGUUUGGGAACACACACACCAAAGCACGCAACAAGCUGACCAAUACAAGGGUUGAAAAAUUGGUGGCCAUCCGGGCAAAUCUGAAGCUUUUUGAGCCUGACAACAAGCCAUCCUCAACAAGGUUGAAAAGUAACAGUGAAGAUGAGGCCUCAGAAUCUGAUGUUCAAGAGGUGGACAUUGAGGAGGUCCAGGGAGAAGACAUUGAACCCUGAGAGGAAGACAACCAAAGCUAUCUACAAAAUAGCUUCCAAUACUCUACUCAGCAAACUAGAUGCAGUUUAUCAUAGUGCCAUCCGUUUUGUUACUAAAACACCUUAUACCACCCACCACUGCGACCUGUAUGCUCUAGUCGGCUGGCCCUCGCUACAUAUUCGUCGCCAGACCCACUGGCUCCAGGUCAUCUAUAAGUCCAUGCUAGGUAAAGCGCUGCCUUAUCUCAGUUCACUGGUCACGAUAACAACACCCAGCCGUAGCAUGCGCUCCAGCAGGUAUAUCUCACUGAUCAUCCCAAAAGCCAACACCUCAUUUGGCCGCCUUUCCUUCCAGUUCUCUGCUGCCUGUGACUGGAACGAAUUGCAAAAAUCGCUGAAGUUGGAGACUUUUAUUUCCCUCACCAACUUUAAACAUCUGCUAUCUGAGCAGCUAACCGAUCGCUGCAGCUGUACAUAGUCCAUCUGUAAACAGCCCACCCAAUUUACCUACCUCCAUCCCCUUACUGUUUUUAUUUAUUUACUUUUCUGCUCUUUUGCACACCAGUAUCUCUACUUGCACAUGAUCAUCUGAUGAUUUAUCACUCCAGUGUUAAUCUGCUAAAUUGUAAUUAUUUGCUCUUAUGGCCUAUUUAUUGCCUACCUCCUCAUGCCUUUUGCACACGAUGUAUAUAGACUCAUUCUUUUUUUUUCUACUGUGUUAUUGACUUGUUUAUUGUUUACUCCAUGUGUCACUCUGUGUUGUUGUCUGUUCACACUGCUAUGCUUUAUCUUGGCCAGGUCGCAGUUGUAAAUGAGAACUUGUUCUCAACUAGUCUACCUGGUUAAAUAAAGAUAAAAUAAAAAAGCUUUAGUUUCUAGACUAUCAUUUUACAGAUGUAUGUUGAAAAUGUGUUUGGGAAAUGCAAUGGAUCAUUGAGGAUCAUUCAAUAUUCGCUUUCUUUUGUUGUUCGGUAAAAUCAUCUCAUGUGAAGAGUCAACUAAUUUAAUAAAGUUAAAUUUGUAACUAAAUUGGUUUUAAAAAUGUCUAUUGGAAGGAUUUAAUAAUUUGCAAUUAUGUCUACUUAUGAUAAGGUAAAAGGUUUAUGUUUCUGUCUCCAUAUGAUAUGGUAAAUAUAUUCAAUGCAAAAAAACAUUACAUUUAAAUGGUAUUAAUAUUAAUUUGCAUAUAUUUCCGUUAAUUCCCAUAUAUUCCCGUUAAUUCCCACGGAAAUUUUCCACCUCUGAAUAUGCCCCAAAAUGUGCAACCCUACUUCUAUGGAAUAUAUAUUUUAUACGGACAUUGAAAAGACAACUCUGCAGAUGUUGAAAAUCAGUCUUUGUCGUAUGUUAUAAAGUGCAUAUUUUAUGGACGAAGAAAAUACGUAUUUUUUUGUUUGUCGUUUCUAUGGUUUAAAUGUAAACUGUACAUAAUAUCUAGAUGUCAGUGAUGUUUAGUUCGCAAAUAAUUCAUCAUUUUUUUGUACUUUUACCUUUUUUUCUCCCCAAUUGGUAGUUAUGGUCUUGUCCCAUCGCUGCAACACCCUUAUGGACUCGGAGUGCCGAAGGUCAAGAGCCAUGCGUUCUCCGAAAUACGACCCUGCCAAGCCGCACUGCUCGCUUAACCCAGAAGCACCAAUGUGUCUGAGGAACACUGUCAAGCUGGCGACCAAACAAAGCUGGAGGACUUGAAUGUCAGUGACAAAGACAUUCUGGAGCUGAACUGAUUUUUUUAUGGGUUGAUGGCUCCUCACUGCAAGUCGCAGAGACUUUGGACGGAGGGGGAUUUUUACUAAGGAGGAGAAGGAGGCCGUGCUGGCCAUUUCGGAGUGAAGCGCAUGAUUGCCAAAAUCAACCUACACUUCUUCUGACGGGGAAUUGUCAAGGAGUUGGACAGCUGGGAAAGUGAAAUAACCUUCUGUUUAUCAAUCACAUUCUAUUACAGUAUAUCUGAAAUUAUUAUGAUUUCAAUGAAUGUCAUAUAAGAGAGCACACAAUGUGCACACAAAAUAACCUGAAGCUAGUGUUAGUUUCCCUAGCACUGAUAUUUUCCUAUUUGUCUUCCUAGGGUUACCUAACAAUCUUCUCCAGUUGGAGCAGUUGGACGGUCGACCACUGAAAGCACUGACACCCUACACUGCAGCGAAUCCCAAUAGACAAAGACCAUCGACUGUCCGAGCCCCCCAGGAGGUACCCCAUCUACCAGAACCAGUGAGUUCGGAUCAGUCUGAUUCUUUGUGCUCUGAGUCGGAGGGGGACCAGCUAUAGAACCUAGGGGUUCUGCCCAACACCUAGACGUGGGUCCAACUGAUGUUCUCAAUUACCAACCACCCUCCAACUUUUCAUUACAUCAUCUACAGCUACUGUUAUUGACAUGUUGUCAUUAUCUGCCAAGAAACUUGUAUUUCUCUAUCAUACUGGGCACAUAAUAUGUGACAUACCCAGAUUAACUAAAAACACUAGCACUGCUGUCACGCCCUGGCCUUAGUAUUCUUUGUUUUCUUUAUUAUUUUAGUUAGGUCAGGGUGUGACAUGGGGAAUGUUUGUGUUUUGUCGUUUGGGUGGUUAUAUGGUAAAGGGGGUGUUGGGUGUAGUGUAUGAGUUUGUGUUGAGUGAAUGUUUCUAGGUAUGUCUAUGGUUGAGUGAAUGUGUCUAGGUAUGUCUAUGGUUGCCUGAGUGGUUCUCAAUCAGAGACAGAUGUCUUUCAUUUGUCUCUGAUUGGGAGCCAUAUUUAAGGCAGCCAUGGGCAUCAUGCAUUUGUGGGUAAUUGUCUAUGUCUAAGUGUUUAGUGUCAGCACUUAUGUUUGAAUAGCUUCACGGUUUUGUUGUUUUGUUUAGUUUGUAUAGUGUUCGUUUUGUUUUCGUCUUCUUUCUUAAAUAAAGAAGAUGUACUUUCCACACGCUGCAUUUUGGUCCUCACUCUCUCCCAUUGACGGUCGUGACAACUGCAAACACUCAGAACAAAGAGAGCUGUCUACCUCUUCAAGUUCCCCUUCCGAGACUGGCUAGCUGUUGAGAACAAAUGACAGGUAGAACCUCCCAACCACAGAGCAACCACCUCCGGAAUAUUCCACAUGCCAGAAUUCAGUAUUUUAGUCUGAUUGACAUGUGAGUGUACAAAACAUCUGUGAAAAUAAAUGAAUGACCCAACUGUACCAA